CUAAGUGAUAACUUUCAAAUUCAGAGAAACCCUGGAAUGAAAAAUGGGCAAUCCUGAGCCAAAUCCUAUUAUUUUAUUAUUUUACGAAAAUAAACAUGAACAAAGGUUCAGCAAGCGAGAAUAAGAAAAAAAGGAAAGGAUAGGUGCAGAGACUCAAUGGAAGCU
rnacentral:ribozyme from 1 species